UAAAACACUGUGCUGAUGUCCCUUAUGGUCAGUUGCUACUUUCCAAAGAAAUGGGAGUUGCCAUCCUUGCUAAGAAGAGGAGGGACCUUGGGCCAAGGCUGUAGGCGAGGUCCCAGAGCCCAUCAGGGGUACAGCUUGACAUGUCACCUGGCCCUGGUCCCCUGAUUCUCAGUUCUGAACCACCACCAUCCAGGGCAGCUCUGUCUAAGAUCCAGCAUGUUCCAAAUCACUAUCUGGUUGUCAUUGUGGCUAGAAGUGUCACCAGAGUCCCAUAGACACAGGAGCAGAAUUUAAAGGCCAUAAACCUUCAUGAGGAUAUCAACCUAUCAUGUCAAAGCCGUUGCAGUCCCCUCUCUGAGAGAGCCUGGGAAGUCUGCCCCCUGGGGCGUGGCUCAUAGUUAAAGCCAGCUGUUGUCACAGCAGCUCUUCAUGAUGCAGCAUCUCAACACUUAAUUACUCUUCUCAGAUGAUAGCAGAUUGGGUUGAGUGCCCGCACUGGCAGCUUUCGCCCAUCUGUGUGGUGGCAUUUACAGAAUUCUGGAAGCAUCUUUGGGCUGGGCUCAUGAGGGGUUCUGUUGCCACUAAACUUGUUUCAGGUGUGUUUCAUUUAUACACGCACCAAGUCCUGAACUCCUUACUUUCACCGUUCUGCUUACAAGAAGUAAAAUAUAUAUUUCCUUUUCUCUGUAUCUUUCUAUAUUUUGAUGAUAGCGGGGAUUGAACCCAGGGCCUUGUGUCCCUAGGCAAGCACUGUGACACCGAACUACAUCCCCUCCUUUAAAUUUUGAGACAGGGCUCACUAAGUUGCCCGGGCUGGACUUGUGAUCCUCCUGCCUCAGCCUCCUGGGCAGCUGGAUUCCAGGCCUGUGCACGGCUCCUUCUGUCCUUCUGCUUCCAAUACAAGUCUCCUUUCCCCAAAUGUGGCUCACCACAGAGCGGGUUCUCCUG
rnacentral:lncRNA from 1 species